UGAUCUGGUGGUGGGGAAGGAAGGGAGGAACAAGUUUUAUAGACUUCUAUCGUCCAAUCAUUGUGUAAACCAGGAGGAAGUGUUACAGAAUUCUCAAACAUUUCCAUUGAGGAAACACUGAAAUCCAUCAGAAAGAGAUGUCUAAAAAGGCAUGUGAGAUCCAUAGAAACACUGAACAGAAAUCUACCUCUGGGCCGAGCACAGUGGCUCAUGCCUGUAAUCCUAGCACUUUGGGAGGGACAGCAGGGGCUUCACUAGCACUGGCCAUGUUUAUUUUUUUAAGUAGAGUGAUAGCUUUAUGGCUGUUCAUUUUAUUGUCACUCUUUGGAGGUUAUGUAUGUAUCAUAUAUACUUCAUACAUAUCAAUGAUUACAUGAUAAAAGAAGAGAAAAGCCACCCUACUGACUCAUGCCACAUCUUCCGUUCAAAUGCUCGGCUCCUUUUGAACUAACUCCCCUUUCAGGCUCUCCCUUCUAUUCACCA
rnacentral:lncRNA from 10 species